CACCGAUAACGGCAAACCAUUGGAAACGAUGGGACGCAAAGCUAUAGGGCCUUUCUGCAAGGAAUGGCAGCCUAGCCACCGAA
rnacentral:ncRNA from 1 species